GACGAACGCUGGCGGCGUGCUCAACACAUGCAAGUCGAACGAUGAACCGGAGCUUGCUCUGGGGAUUAGUGGCGAAUGGGUGAGUAAGACGUGGGCAACCUGCCCCAGACACCGGGAUAACCAUUGGAAACGAUGGCUAAUACCGGAUACGACCACUUCGGGCAUCCGAUGGUGGUGGAAAGGAUUCUGGUCUGGGAUGGGCCCGCGGCCUAUCAGCUUGUUGGUGGGGUAAUGGCCUACCAAGGCGACGACGGGUAGCCGGCCUGAGAGGGCGACCGGCCACACUGGGACUGAGACACGGCGCAGACUCCUACGGGAGGCAGCAGUGGGGAAUAGUGCGCAAUGGGCGAAAGCCUGACGCAGCGACGCCGCGUGAGGGACGAAGGUCUUCGGAUUGUAAACCUCUUUCAGCAGGGAUGAAGCGAAAGUGACAGUACCUGCAGAGGAAGCACCGGCUAACUACGUGCCAGCCGCCGCUGUAAAAC
rnacentral:rRNA from 1 species